rnacentral:rRNA from 1 species
CCUACGGGAUGCACCAGUGGGGAAUAUUGCACAAUGGGCGCAAGCCUGAUGCAGCCAUGCCGCGUGUAUGAAGAAGGCCUUCGGGUUGUAAAGUACUUUCAGCGAGGAGGAAGGCAUUAAGGUUAAUAACCUUGGUGAUUGACGUUACUCGCAGAAGAAGCACCGGCUAACUCCGUGCCAGCAGCCGCGGUAAUACGGAGGGUGCAAGCGUUAAUCGGAAUUACUGGGCGUAAAGCGCACGCAGGCGGUCUGUCAAGUCGGAUGUGAAAUCCCCGGGCUCAACCUGGGAACUGCAUUCGAAACUGGCAGGCUAGAGUCUUGUAGAGGGGGGUAGAAUUCCAGGUGUAGCGGUGAAAUGCGUAGAGAUCUGGGGGAAUACCGGUGGCGAAGGCGGCCCCCUGGAUAAAUACUGACGCUCAGGUGCGAAAACGUGGGGAGCAAACAGGAUUAGAUACCCGUGUAGUC